rnacentral:lncRNA from 1 species
AUUUUCAUAUCUGAUCACAGCGGAAAGACCUCAGCAGCUUUCGUCAGUUGGCCCUCCAGCAUCCACGUUCCAUUUAUACCAACCAGCCGGAGGACAAUCCCAUUGAAUUCUUGACACCAGGGCUGCCAUGGUCUGUACUUCCUCAUUUAGAUCCACAUAAUGAGCUGAGAUAUGAAUUGGUAGCUGUUUGCGCUCGAUGCACUAUUACCAAAGCCUCCCGCAUCUCCUGAG